rnacentral:ncRNA from 1 species
CAGCGCUCUGGAGAACUCUUAAUUGAGUGCCGAAGGUGCAAAGGCGGCAAGACAUAAAGGGUAUCGACCUGUGUCUGCGCCCAAUCUCUCAGGCAAAAGGACGGAGGAA